CUCUUUCCCUAGUAAGUUCUAACCUGUUUCUGUUUCCUUACAGUUAAAUUACCCUAGACCUGUCGAUAUUAAAAAUCUUGAUUGUGUCCUUUUUAAAGUGUGGUGUUAAGGGCUUAUGUGCUAAACCAUGAGUAGAGAAAGAAGAGUUGUUUAAAACGAGAUAUUUUCCUUGCAUUAACUGGAAAUGUUCCUUGAUUCUUCUACACACAUGAUCUGCCUUAAUGUUAAUGUACUGUGUAUCUGCCUUCACAGUGCCAGAAGCAGUCUAUUGCUUUUAACUACAUAUACCUGAUUCCUCUGCUGUAAUUGCUGAAUGUUAUUCUUCUUUCUUUAUCCAUUUUUAUAUACCCUGGCAUAGGUCAUCUGCAUCCUUUUUCCUAUUCUGCCUGUCUGUGUCUAUGCCAGCAAACAGUCUAGCCACUCAAGGUCUUGUCACUAUUACUUCAUCUAUUUGUCUCACUUUUAAAUGAUUUGCUUCUAUUUUAACUGCCUUGGAUCUUGCAACGUGACCAAAAUAUUAGAUCAUUAAAACCAUCUAAAAUCAGGAUCAUAUCUCAAACCAAAAGUUUGACAAUACUAAAAAUAUACUAAAAGCUUUAAAGUGUGUUUAUGGUCAGUAAAUGACACUAUAAAAUGACAUUUUCUCUCUUAACAUUUCACUCUACAUGUAUUGCAAGUCAUGUCUGCUUUACCACCAUGGAAAAAAAGGGAUUUUUUUUUUCACUCCUGCUAUCACCUGCAGAGUCGACACAGCACAAUUUUAUUUUUUUCUAUCAGCAUAAUUGUUAGCUGAAUUCCAGUUGCCAAUUUGUUUUACUAGUCACAAUGCAUGGGCAAGACUGAUUUUCACAUCCCAGUGUAAGUUUUCAAGGCUCAAAUAGAGUGAUCUUUUUUGCUUCUAAACUAAGCAAAUUCUGUUUGAAAGACACUGAAUACGAAACAGCACAAUGCAUACAGUCACUUUUCGUGAUUAAGUUCAUAAAAAUAGAUAUACUGAUUUUUUAAAAAAAAUAUACUGGAACAGGAAUUGUAUUUGAAAAAUAAAUCUAUUUCUUGAUCACUUUAUAGUUUCA
rnacentral:lncRNA from 1 species